rnacentral:rRNA from 1 species
CAGUCGCCGCGGUAAUACGUAGGGUGCAAGCGUUAAUCGGAAUUACUGGGCGUAAAGCGUGCGCAGGCGGUUUGUUAAGACAGAUGUGAAAUCCCCGGGCUUAACCUGGGAACUGCAUUUGUGACUGGCAAGCUAGAGUCUGGCAGAGGGGGGUGGAAUUCCGCGUGUAGCAGUGAAAUGCGUAGAUAUGCGGAGGAACACCGAUGGCGAAGGCAGCCCCCUGGGCCAACACUGACGCUCAUGCACGAAAGCGUGGGGAGCAAACAGGAUUAGAUACCCGUGUAGUCCCUGUCUCUUAUAC